UGGGAAGGGUGUGGGGAAUGUGAGAAGAGCUUCAAGUAGAGCUCAGCCUAUUCCUGGUGACUCCAAAGACGGCGAUGUCGGAUGCAGAGAUCCCCCUGCAGAUCCAUGGGGCUGCAGAGAUCCCCCUGCAGCCCCCGGAGCAGCCACGCUGAGCACGGGGAUGCCUGAGAGGAGGCUGUGACCCCGUGGCCAGAGGGCCCCGCUGGAGCAGCCUGUCCUGGCAGGACUGACCCCGGGGCACAGUGACCCACGCUGCAGCACUUGGAGGGGGCUGUGCCCCGUGGGAUGGACUCAGCUUGGAGAAGCUCCUGGAGAAGUCUGCGGUGGGAGAGAUCCCAGGGUGCAGCAGGGAAACGACUCCUGUCCCUGAGCAGAGGGAGAAGCCCCGGGGCAUGAACUGGGCCCGGCCCCAUUCCCUCUCUGCGGCACUGCCGGGGUAGGAGGUGCAGCUGGAAGGAGGGAGGCGUGGGGGAAAGCUGGAUUUAAGGGUCUUCACUUACUUCUCAUUAUCCUGCUCUGAGUUUUUGGAGUUUUCUGUCACAAAUCUCUCCCCUCCCCCACUCAUCCUCAGGGGUUUGGGACGGUUUUCCCGUUUUUGGGGGAAAUCAAAGCGAUGCACUGAUGCUCCUAAUUAGAGGUAGGAGAAGUGAGGCUCCAGGGCGUCCCGCUGAGCCGGAGCUACUGGAGCCGCAGUGCCGGGAAAGCCGUGGUGGGAGCUGUGGAGAAGUUUGUGUUUUCAGCUCAAUCCCCCUCGCGCCCGGGCCCGUUCCAGGGCUGUUCCUCAGCUCCGGCUCUGCCCUCACGCAGCCUGGGGGGCCCUGAGAGCGCGAGGCGGGGCUGUGACGUGUGCAGAGCCCGGCCCUGGCUGCGAUUGGGCGAUGGUGCCGUCAGUCGUGGUUGUGGCGCGCUGAUUGGUGGGAGCGGGGCGGAGCAGGGCCCCGGUGGCGGGCUGAGGGCGGUCUUAGCUGGGCAGCGGCGCCAUUGUCGGCAGCAGCCGGAGCGCGGUGAGUCGGCGGCGGAGCUCGGAGGCGGCCGCAGCGCAGCCGUUUCUGGAUCAGGAGGCCUGGCUGCCACCCGCAUCCUCUCACUCACCUGCUGAAUGAGCUGCACUCUCAAGGUGUGGAGCAUGGUAAAAGAUAAGAGUUGCUGUAGCACAUGAGAGGAGAAACAGCAUUUGUUUAACCCAUGGUCUGUCAUGGAGCCACAAAACCGUGUCCCAUUGCCAUUCUUUUCAUCUUUUAGCUGGAACAUGAGCUGCUUUUUUGUUCUCUUUGUUUUCUGUUUCACCGCUUUUCCUUUGUCAUCUAUUUGCCAACAGCAGUUUGGGUCAUUUAAUUUUCCACAAACUCCUCCUUUUUCUGCUGACAGAUGAUCUGAUCCCAUCCCAUGGUGACGUGUGGUGUUCCUCAUUUCAGUGGAUUGGUCAGCAGGAAGUUCAGGAGCUGGAGCUGUCUGGUUGGUUAUUCCGAGGCAGCUUGUAAUCUUAUGGUGCCAUAGAAAUGAGAAAUGGGUUCUGUGGCUCCUGAUAUGAAUUGGUUCGGGUACUCAGGGGCUGGUUCAUGGUAGGAUUUGUUCUGGUGGAUGUUGAUGUUUUUCCCAUUGUUUGCAGUGCCUCAGGAGCCAGGGCUGCAUCAAUUGGCCAAUUUUCUGUAAUGUAAACAUCAAAUACUUGCCUUCCCAACUGCUUUCCUGAACUUGUGGUAGCAACAGCCACCAUGCUGUAAUCCACCCUGUAUAACAUAGACAGUGACAGCACAUGUUGGAGUUGGCAGAGGGAUGAUUCCCCCCACUUUUUAAAAUGAAGUAUUCCCAACAUUCUCCAUUUGCUGUUUCCCUUUGC
rnacentral:lncRNA from 1 species